UGAGAAAUUAGUUAAUAUUUAUAACAUUGAGUUGUCAACCCAAAAUUACUUGUGUAUUUCUUU
rnacentral:tRNA from 1 species